GAUGAAGAACGUAGCGAAAUGCGAUAAGUAGUGUGAAUUGCAGAAUUCAGUGAAUCAUCGAAUCUUUGAACGCACAUUGCGCCCUUUGGUAUUCCUUAGGGCAUGGCUGUUCGAGCGUCAUUUGAAACCUCAAGCUCAGCUUGGUGUUGGGUGUCUGUCCCCGCCUCACCGCGGGGACUCGCCUCAAAAUCAUUGGCGGCCGGUACGUUGGCUUCGAGCGCAGCAGAAACGCGAACUCGAGGCCCGGCGGAUCGGCGACCAGAAGUCACUUCUUCACAGUUUGACCUCGGAUCAGGUAGGGAUACCCGCUGAACUUAAGCAUAUCAAUAAGCGGAGGA
rnacentral:misc_RNA from 1 species